GAAUUAUGUUAGCUUAAGCGGAUACAGUUAAUCAUUAAUUAAUAGACAGUUCACAAACACUUUGCCAGCUAUAUGUCUUUGUAGAUUUAUUUAAUUGACUGAGAUAAUACCAGAAUGUUCAAAAAUAAAUAAUAUAUAUAUUCGCUAAAAUAUUGUGCUUUAUUAGAGCUGCCUUUGUUUUAAAACAAAAAAAGAA